rnacentral:rRNA from 1 species
GAUGAACGCUGGCGGCGUGCUUAACACAUGCAAGUCGAACGGAAAGGCUCCUGCUUGCAGGGGUACUCGAGUGGCGAACGGGUGAGUAACACGUGGGUGCUCUGCCCUGCACUUCGGGAUACGCCUGGGAAACUGGGUCUAAUCCCGGUUAGGACGAUGGUUUGGAUGCCAUUGUGGACAGUUUUUCGGUGUGGGAUGAGCUCGCGGCCUAUCAGCUUGUUGGUGGGGUAAUGGCCUACCAAGGCGUCGACGGGUAGCCGGCCUGAGAGGGUGUACGGCCACAUUGGGACUGGGGUACGGGCAGGACUCCAAUGGGGGGCAGCAGUGGAGAAUAUUGCAAGAUAGGCGCAAGCCUGAAACAGCGACGCCGCGUGGGGGAUGACGGCCUUCGGGUUGGAAACUCUUUUCGCUAGGGACGAAGCGCGAGUGACGGUACCUGAAGAAGAAGCACCGGCUAACUACGUG